GUGCUUGCUUUGGCAGCACAUGGACUAAAAUUGGAACAAUACAGAGAAGAUUAGCAUGGCUUUUGCGCAAGGAUGACACGCAAAUUUGUGAAGCGUUUCAUAUUUAA